rnacentral:rRNA from 1 species
UACGAGGGGGGCGAGCGUUGUUCGGAAUUAUUGGGCGUAAAGGGUGCGUAGGCGGUUUGAUAAGUCUGAUGUGAAAUCUAUGGGCUCAACCCAUAGUCUGCAUUAGAAACUGUCGGGCUUGAGUAUGGGAGAGGUGAGUGGAAUUCUCGGUGUAGCAGUGAAAUGCGUAGAUAUCGAGAGGAACACCAGUGGCGAAGGCGAGUCCCUGGACAGGUCCUGACGCUGAGGCACGAAAGCUAGGGGAGCAAACAGG